AGCUCCAGUAGCGUAUAUUAACGUUGUUGCAGUUAAAAAGCUCGUAGUUGGAUUUCUGGCUUACGCAUUUGGCCCGCUACCUUACGGUAUGUGAGUGCCGAGUUGCCGUCUGCCAUCCUUCUAGAAAACGGUUCUGCCCUUCAUUGGGAGGGAACCGCGAUCUAGAUCUUUUACUUUGAAAAAAUUAGAGUGUUCAAAGCAGGCUCGCGCUAUGAAUACAUUAGCAUGGAAUAAUAAUAUAGGACUUUGGUUCUAUUUUGUUGGUUUCUAGGACUAAAGUAAUGAUUGAUAGGGAUAGUUGGGGGUGCUAGUAUUCGGUGGCCAGAGGUGAAAUUCUCGGAUUCACUGAAGACUAACUUAUGCGAAAGCAUUCACCAAGGAUGUCUUCUUUAAUCAAGAA
rnacentral:rRNA from 1 species